rnacentral:rRNA from 1 species
ACUGCUCAGUAACACGUAGCUAACCUACCCUUUGGUCAAGGAUACCCUCGGGAAACUGAGGUUAAUACUUGAUAAGAGACAUACCCUGGAAUGAUUUGUCUCUCAAACUCGUGCCAAAGGAUGGGGCUGCGGCGGAUUAGGUUGUUGGCGGGGUAAUGGCCCACCAAGCCAGUGAUCCGUAAGGGCUCUUAGCGGAGAGGCCCUGAGAGGGAAUCUGAGACACUAUUCCCAGCCCUACGGGGUGCAGCAGUUAGGUAUAAUCUACAAUGCGCGUAAGCGUGAUAGUUUGAGCCAGAGUGCGUUUCAUUCGAAACGCUUUUGUGAAAUGUAAAAAGUUUCACGAAUAAGGACUGGGUAAGACUAGUGCCAGCCGCCGCGGUAAUACUAGCGGUCCAAGUCGCAGCCAUUUUUAUUGGGUCUAAAACAUCCGUAGCUUGCUUAAUAAGUUCCUUGUGAAAUCUCGUGUCUCAAGCACGGGGCGUGCAAGGAGUACUGUUAAGCUAGAGACUGGAAGACGUAAGAAGUACGUGUAAGGUAGCGGUUGAAUGUGUUAAUCUUAUACGGACUAACAACAGCGAAGGCAUCUUACGAGAACAGUUCUGACAGUCAGGGAUGAAAGCUAGGGGCGCAAAGCGGAUUAGAUACCCGUGUAGUCCUAGCAGUAAACUCUGCACACUAAACAUUGGGACCUCUUCGAGAGGUUUCAGUGCUGAAGGGAAGCCGGAGAGUGUGCUACCUGGGAAGUAUAGUCGCAAGGCCGAAACUUAAAGGAAUUGGCGGGGGAGCAC